rnacentral:rRNA from 1 species
GACGUAGGGCGCGAGCGUUGUCCGGAUUUAUUGGGCGUAAAGAGCUCGUAGGCGGCUUGUCGCGUCGGCUGUGAAAUCCCGUGGCUCAACUGCGGGUCUGCAGCCGAUACGGGCAGGCUAGAGUUCGGUAGGGGAGACUGGAAUUCCUGGUGUAGCGGUGAAAUGCGCAGAUAUCAGGAGGAACACUGGUGGCGAAGGCGGGUCUCUGGGCCGGUACUGACGCUGAGACGCGAAAGCGUGGGGAGCGAACAGG